UUAAGCGACUAAGCGUACACGGUGGAUGCCCUGGCAGUCAGAGGCGAUGAAGGACGUGCUAAUCUGCGAUAAGCGUCGGUAAGGUGAUAUGAACCGUUAUAACCGGCGAUUUCCGAAUGGGGAAACCCAGUGUGAUUCGUCACACUAUCAUUAACUGAAUCCAUAGGUUAAUGAGGCGAACCGGGGGAACUGAAACAUCUAAGUACCCCGAGGAAAAGAAAUCAACCGAGAUUCCCCCAGUAGCGGCGAGCGAACGGGGAGGAGCCCAGAGCCUGAAUCAGUGUGUGUGUUAGUGGAAGCGUCUGGAAAGGCGCGCGAUACAGGGUGACAGCCCCGUACACAAAAAUGCACAUGCUGUGAGCUCGAUGAGUAGGGCGGGACACGUGGUAUCCUGUCUGAAUAUGGGGGGACCAUCCUCCAAGGCUAAAUACUCCUGACUGACCGAUAGUGAACCAGUACCGUGAGGGAAAGGCGAAAAGAACCCCGGCGAGGGGAGUGAAAAAGAACCUGAAACCGUGUACGUACAAGCAGUGGGAGCCUCUUAAUGGGGUGACUGCGUACCUUUUGUAUAAUGGGUCAGCGACUUAUAUUCUGUAGCAAGGUUAACCGAAUAGGGGAGCCGAAGGGAAACCGAGUCUUAACUGGGCGUUAAGUUGCAGGGUAUAGACCCGAAACCCGGUGAUCUAGCCAUGGGCAGGUUGAAGGUUGGGUAACACUAACUGGAGGACCGAACCGACUAAUGUUGAAAAAUUAGCGGAUGACUUGUGGCUGGGGGUGAAAGGCCAAUCAAACCGGGAGAUAGCUGGUUCUCCCCGAAAGCUAUUUAGGUAGCGCCUCGUGAAUUCAUCUCCGGGGGUAGAGCACUGUUUCGGCAAGGGGGUCAUCCCGACUUACCAACCCGAUGCAAACUGCGAAUACCGGAGAAUGUUAUCACGGGAGACACACGGCGGGUGCUAACGUCCGUCGUGAAGAGGGAAACAACCCAGACCGCCAGCUAAGGUCCCAAAGUCAUGGUUAAGUGGGAAACGAUGUGGGAAGGCCCAGACAGCCAGGAUGUUGGCUUAGAAGCAGCCAUCAUUUAAAGAAAGCGUAAUAGCUCACUGGUCGAGUCGGCCUGCGCGGAAGAUGUAACGGGGCUAAACCAUGCACCGAAGCUGCGGCAGCGACACUAUGUGUUGUUGGGUAGGGGAGCGUUCUGUAAGCCUGUGAAGGUGGCCUGUGAGGGUUGCUGGAGGUAUCAGAAGUGCGAAUGCUGACAUAAGUAACGAUAAAGCGGGUGAAAAGCCCGCUCGCCGGAAGACCAAGGGUUCCUGUCCAACGUUAAUCGGGGCAGGGUGAGUCGACCCCUAAGGCGAGGCCGAAAGGCGUAGUCGAUGGGAAACAGGUUAAUAUUCCUGUACUUGGUGUUACUGCGAAGGGGGGACGGAGAAGGCUAUGUUGGCCGGGCGACGGUUGUCCCGGUUUAAGCGUGUAGGCUGGUUUUCCAGGCAAAUCCGGAAAACCAAGGCUGAGGCGUGAUGACGAGGCACUACGGUGCUGAAGUGACAAAUGCCCUGCUUCCAGGAAAAGCCUCUAAGCAUCAGGUAACAUCAAAUCGUACCCCAAACCGACACAGGUGGUCAGGUAGAGAAUACCAAGGCGCUUGAGAGAACUCGGGUGAAGGAACUAGGCAAAAUGGUGCCGUAACUUCGGGAGAAGGCACGCUGAUAUGUAGGUGAAGCGACUUGCUCGUGGAGCUGAAAUCAGUCGAAGAUACCAGCUGGCUGCAACUGUUUAUUAAAAACACAGCACUGUGCAAACACGAAAGUGGACGUAUACGGUGUGACGCCUGCCCGGUGCCGGAAGGUUAAUUGAUGGGGUUAGCGGUAACGCGAAGCUCUUGAUCGAAGCCCCGGUAAACGGCGGCCGUAACUAUAACGGUCCUAAGGUAGCGAAAUUCCUUGUCGGGUAAGUUCCGACCUGCACGAAUGGCGUAAUGAUGGCCAGGCUGUCUCCACCCGAGACUCAGUGAAAUUGAACUCGCUGUGAAGAUGCAGUGUACCCGCGGCAAGACGGAAAGACCCCGUGAACCUUUACUAUAGCUUGACACUGAACAUUGAGCCUUGAUGUGUAGGAUAGGUGGGAGGCUUUGAAGUGUGGACGCCAGUCUGCAUGGAGCCGACCUUGAAAUACCACCCUUUAAUGUUUGAUGUUCUAACGUUGGCCCCUAAUCGGGGUUGCGGACAGUGUCUGGUGGGUAGUUUGACUGGGGCGGUCUCCUCCUAAAGAGUAACGGAGGAGCACGAAGGUUGGCUAAUCCUGGUCGGACAUCAGGAGGUUAGUGCAAUGGCAUAAGCCAGCUUGACUGCGAGCGUGACGGCGCGAGCAGGUGCGAAAGCAGGUCAUAGUGAUCCGGUGGUUCUGAAUGGAAGGGCCAUCGCUCAACGGAUAAAAGGUACUCCGGGGAUAACAGGCUGAUACCGCCCAAGAGUUCAUAUCGACGGCGGUGUUUGGCACCUCGAUGUCGGCUCAUCACAUCCUGGGGCUGAAGUAGGUCCCAAGGGUAUGGCUGUUCGCCAUUUAAAGUGGUACGCGAGCUGGGUUUAGAACGUCGUGAGACAGUUCGGUCCCUAUCUGCCGUGGGCGCUGGAGAACUGAGGGGGGCUGCUCCUAGUACGAGAGGACCGGAGUGGACGUAUCACUGGUGUUCGGGUUGUCAUGCCAAUGGCACUGCCCGGUAGCUAAAUGCGGAAGAGAUAAGUGCUGAAAGCAUCUAAGCACGAAACUUGCCCCGAGAUGAGUUCUCCCUGACUCCUUGAGAGUCCUGAAGGAACGUUGAAGACGACGACGUUGAUAGGCCGGGUGUGUAAGCGCAGCGAUGCGUUGAGCUAACCGGUACUAAUGAACCGUGAGGCUUAACCUU
rnacentral:rRNA from 2 species